AGUGAACGCUGGCGGUAGGCCUAACACAUGCAAGUCGAACGGCAGCACAGUAAGAGCUUGCUCUUACGGGUGGCGAGUGGCGGAUGGGUGAGGAAUACAUCGGCAUCUACUUUUUCGUGGGGGACAACGUAGGGAAUCUUACGCUAAUACCGCAUACGACGUACGGGUGAAACCGGGGGUCCUCGGACCUUUGGCGCAUCCAUUGACCGAUGUCGGAUUUGCUAGUUGGCGGGGUAAAGGCCCACCAAGGCGACGAUCCGUAGCUGGUCUGAGAGGAUGAUCAGCCACACUGGAACUGAGACACGGUCCAGACUCCUACGGGAGGCAGCAGUGGGGAAUAUUGGACAAUGGGCGCAAGCCUGAUCCAGCCAUGCCGCGUGGGUGAAGAAGGCCUUCGGGUUGUAAAGCCCUUUUGUUGGGAAAGAAAAGCAGCAGGUUAAUACCCCGCGGUUCUGACGGUACCCAAAGAAUAAGCACCGGCUAACUUCGUG
rnacentral:rRNA from 1 species